rnacentral:rRNA from 1 species
GAUGAACGCUGGCGGCGUGCCUAAUACAUGCAAGUCGAGCGAACCGAUGAGGAGCUUGCUCCUCUGACGUUAGCGGCGGACGGGUGAGUAACACGUGGAUAACCUACCUAUAAGACUGGGAUAACUUCGGGAAACCGGAGCUAAUACCGGAUAAUCUAUUGAACCGCAUGGUUCAAUAGUGAAAGACGGUUUUGCUGUCACUUAUAGAUGGAUCCGCGCCGCAUUAGCUAGUUGGUAAGGUAACGGCUUACCAAGGCAACGAUGCGUAGCCGACCUGAGAGGGUGAUCGGCCACACUGGAACUAAGACACGGUCCAGACUCCUACGGGAGGCAGCAGUAGGGAAUCUUCCGCAAUGGGCGAAAGCCUGACGGAGCAACGCCGCGUGAGUGAUGAAGGUCUGCGGAUCGUAAAACUCUGUUAUUAGGGAAGAACAAAUGUGUAAGUAACUAUGCACGUCUUGACGGUACCUAAUCAGAAAGCCACGGCUAACUACGUG